rnacentral:lncRNA from 1 species
GGAUGAACGGAAAGGCCGGGAGUGGGGAGUCAGGGGGUGCCCCCAGAGCUCAGAGGCGACCGACGGCGGCGGUUCCAGGUCAACUGGGCCGAACAAGAAGGGACCCUCUUGCCCGCGUCCCGCCCGCGCGCCCGCCGGGACCACCGCCGCCGCCGCCCGGCUCCGAGGGACCCGCCGGACCUGCCCCUUCCGCUGCGGCUCACUCUGCCUUGCCGGGCGCCGCUUCUGGAUCGCCGGCUUCUCAUUCCUACCAGGCUGGGCUCCUCUCCACUCACUUUCCCAUCCUGUUCCAGGCUGGCGACUUCGCUGCUGAGCUGAAACUGCUAAUUUCUGUGACCAGCUUUUUUCUUAGCUGUGAUCUGGAUGAAUGAGUAGCUGUCUCACAGAGAUGACAAAAAUAAACUCUAAUCCCCCCCAAAAUUUCCACUAC